GUUUUUUUGACCUCGCCUGUAAGAGCUACAAAAUGUCUAAGAAAAAUAAAACCUGUCAUGAGUAUUGUACAGUCUACAGCCCGCUUACACGGAUUUACAAAGAUACAAAAACUUGCAGUUUAGAACGACAAAACCUUUGUCCUUGUGGACUUGAGUGUACAAAAAUUGAGCACCUCUGAAAUGUCCCAUUUGCCUGAGCGAUAUACCAACAUCACAGUACGCCAGAUGAGCCAUUUUGUAUGCUGGCAGCUUCAGCCGGAAGUAAGCAGGCAGCGCACCAGGAGUUCCAGAGCACAAGCUGUGACAAAGAGACCUGCCUGUUGGUUCAGUUGUACACUUUUAGGACUUUGGAGAAGACUCGCUUUCUACUGCAGCUACAGACUAGAGUCACUCAAAAGGAGGUUCUGCGGCAAUAGGAAGGCUUGAUUGAAAACUCAGGUGAAUUUGCCGAGUUCCCUCUUCUUGGUGAUUGCCCUCUGGCCAUGGUAGACAAACGAAUCUAUGAUUCCAGAAACAGUGAACACACCUGUAAAACAAGAGGACAUGUGCCUUUGGUCAUUGGUUGAACUGCUGAAAGGAUGUUGGCCAUAUUGAUUGAGUUCAUAGUUUUCCAAUUCCAGGACAUAGGCUAGCAAAGGGGACAUACUCGUAUAUUUUACUCAUGAAUCAGGAAUGGCCUUAAUUAAAUGUUCAACUGAAGCAUAACAGUUCAGUAAACAUAUGAACGUAAAACGUAUGAUUCAACAGAAAUAGCUAAUUAGUUUAAAGAAAAAAGGCACCGAGGGAAAUAUUACCUCCAACAAUAGCGCAUACAUUAGUUAAGAAGUGUAAGAAUGACACAUGGCGCUCCGUGAACGUGACCUGUUAAAGGCAUGUAUGCUAAAGUUAUACAAAUAUACUGACUGAUGCCUUGCAAAAAUAUCAGUAUAAAAUGCAUGACUUAAGGUCUUGAGGGAAAAAAUCCCUCUGUCAUCUGAAUAAUAAAGACAAUAAGUAAAUGUCGUAACAGAUGACUGAACUAAUGGAAAACAACAGAAUGGAGUAUAGCACGCCAAAUUCAAGUACUUCAAGAUGGUACCUUAAUUGGUGAAAGGUCAUAAAAGAAAAACACGCCAGGAAGAGCUUGUACCCGACCACUAUCGCCACUUCUGUAAUGUUCUGUCACAGAAAACUACAGCAAAGAAUAACAGCAUCUUGAGAAAUGCUAAUGAUAUAAAUGCACCCACAUAAGUUAUUACGCUUGUGCGCACAAGGGAGAAAGUCACAAGAUACCUGAUUGGAGAGAAUAAUUUGCUCAUUUAGGUGAGAGUAUACAGUGGGAACAACCUGGAAAACAAGAGGGCAAAAGGAGAGCAUGAUAAUAUUAUAAUCAUGUGUUCAGACUGCAAUCAUGCUGAAAGUACCAGGAAUAACUGAAUAAGGAUCUAACAAAAUCAGGAGCAAAUGAGAAAUGAAAUUAGCAAGUUGAGCUGGCUUUGCAAAGACCGAGAAGACAAACCUUAACAAAGUAUUGAGCCAUUCCAUAUGAUGAAUGCUGGAUCCAUUGCGCCCUACACAUUGGCCAAGUAUGAAAGGUCAAAUCAUCACAUAUUUUUUCUCAAACACACAAAAGGAUACAAGGAAAUCAACAACAUUACAAACAAAACAGAAUUUACCCAUCAAGGGGAUUGAUCACACCAGGAAAGGGUUCUCCAAAACUCAAUUUAUUUAUCUUAUGGCUGAGCUGGCAUUGUAAAGGAUAAAAGGAUAAGUUUGGAUAUUUAAAGCAAGCAUAUUGGCAAGAAAAAUCUAAAUGUUCCCAUCAGUAUGUCAAGUACAAAGAAAUAUUUACAGAUUUCCUUAAGUAUGAUUACAUUGAAGCUAUCCUUUUGGAAUGGAAGCAGAUCGUGAACAUGAACAUUUGACUGCUGGAAGCUUUUCCCUGGAGCAAAGUGGAAAUUCCCAGCAACCUUGUUAAUUUCCAGAAUGCCAUAAAUGUUGCAUCCUUCACCUUCUUCAUCCUUUAUUGUUUGAAGGAAGCCCUCGCUUUUGCACUACAGAACAGUGCACACCAUACAAAUUAAAAUUCCUUGAAGGUGAAGGAAACACACAAGUUACAUGAAGGGUAUCAUAUGUUAUAUGCGUAGCCCAAAAUUCAUUGUACCUGAUCGAUCGAAUCUGGAUUUGAUACGCCCCAACCUUUUUUUCUGUAUGCUUCACGGACAUCUUCACACGAGUUACAACAUUGUUCAGGAGACUGCAUUCAAAUAAUAUAUUCAGUUAAAGUGCAUACAAGAAUAGCAAAUGCGUUGAAUGCAGGUAGCAUUGUGGGAGCACUAUUUAACAGCCUAUUCAUCUUAGUAGAACAACAACAACAAAGAGAAGCUGAAAAUUCUUUGAGCAGAGAAGAAAGCGCUAGUUGACAUUAGGUAUUAGUAUUACAUAACUGAGUUGAAACAUAGAAAUUACACUCUCAAGCAGCAUCGAUUUAAUGGAGAAACACAACAGAUUGCCAGAAAGAUAUGGAAUUAAUAGUACAGUAAGCAACAUGAAGAACACUGCUAAUGAGAACAAUUGAACAGUAUGGUUAGAAAACAAAAAAUGAUCUGAGCCUGAUCCAAGCCACACAAAUAUAUGCGAAUAACUCCAGAUGUAGCUGUCAGGUGUGCCUUUUGCUCCUUAACAAGUACAACUUGUGCAUAACCCUGAUGUAGUUAUCAGGUGUGCCUUUUGCUCUAUAACUCGUGCUAAUAAGACUGAAACUAGUGGUGGCAUAAUUCACAUCCAGAACUUUAAAUGGAACUAAUGUAAACAUGAUAAAAAAAAGUUGGAACCAGCCGACAAUUGAAAAUUUCAAAACUUAUCAACAACAAAGAAGUUCAUGUAGCAGUUUCUGAAAGGUAAUGAAAACAAAAUAGUGAACAAUAGAUUAUUAAAAUAUUGCUGCAAGUCCAAGAGAAGCCCAUAAGUUUUUGCAUAUUACGGGUAAGGAACGAAAUACUAUGUAUAAUGACAAAUGAGCAUACUUCUUGUGCACCAUAACAUGAGCCACAAUAGGUCUCAUUGUGUUCAAGCCUUCCACCAUGAUGUUGUAAAGGUUUUUCCACCUAUAAAAGGUCAACAAUAAAAAGAAAACAUGAGUCUUCAGGUCUAAUAAAAUGUAUCAGGAAUUGAACAAUACGCCACCUAGCUGGUAAUUUACUCGGCAAUACAUAUGCAAUGUCAGGUAACAGUUCAGAUAAUAUGUGCAGAACAAAUCCUCAUAGCCUUUAUGAAAUGGAUUUAGGCCAUUUCCAUGGCCACAAAUGCAUUCUUAAUAGUUAAGAUGUAUGAUUAUUUAGAAGAAUGUAACUUUGGAAUAAAGAACACUAUAUUAUAGAAGUUAUAAGUGUAAUAUUUAAUAGAACAAAUGAGUCACUGACCUUCAUCCCACCAACUGCAUCUUGCUUAGUUGCAAUAACAUUGCCAUGUGCAUCGAUUCGCUGCUUGAAUACAUCAUGUUUCUACAUAGAGCAUUAUAGUGAAACAAGCUAGUUACUAUAACCUGGCAGCCAGAUAGAUCAACCAUAACUUGUACCAGGUAAAAAGAAUAUGCAAGAUAUUGAGACAGAAACAUCUGAAGCAGCAUAGGUAGCAACAAUAAUAAUACAAAAAUACAUACCACAUCAAGGUGCUCUUGUCCACUGAUGUCCAUCACAUCAACACUAAUUAUAGAACACUGAAGGGCUGGAAAGGUGAUAUCAAACUGCAUUUUGUAGCAUCAGACCAAAGGUAGAUGUUAGCAAGUUUCUGAACAGAAAGUAGUCUAGAUCAUUGGUUAACAAUUAUCAUACAUUCAUACAAGAUACUAAUUCUUGAAAGAGAAGGCCCGGUGUGGGGAAAUGAUAUGCAAGAAAAAAAACGGUUGGCAAGUCAAACUAAAGAAAAUUAGGAACGGGACGAUUGUUAGUAAUUGGUGAA
rnacentral:lncRNA from 1 species